rnacentral:lncRNA from 1 species
GCAAUUAUUGGCCAGUUUAUUAAGGAUAUGAUUUUACAACAUACUUUUUUUUUCCCCCAAAAUAUAUCUUUCAUUAAAAAAAAAUGGAGGUGACAAAGAUGACCCAGAUUCUCAAUAAUGUAGGCUACAGGAAGGCUGUACUUGAAGUUUUAAACACAGAACUGUAUAGAAGGCUGUUAUGGGCCUUUAAAGACUAGUCAGAUAUAUCUUUGUAAAAAUCCCAAAUUAGAACAAUAAGUCUUUUGGAAGGAAUCCUGUCCAAUACAAACUGACAAAAAUCAGUAAAAAAUGGUAUUUUUUUAUUACUUUUGCCUAUGGAUAGAAAUGUAAGUUUCAAUCCUGGAUGAGGCUUUUUUUUUUUUUUGGCAGAAAUUAUUGGACCAUUUCCAAGACAAAAAUGGCACCCAUAAAUAUGAGUGGGAGAUGGAGUACAGUAAGGAAGAGGUGUUAGACUAAGUUUCUAGUGAAUAGUUUGGAAAGUUUGUCCUAGAGAACAGAUCUUGGUUUAUAUGAAAAAAACAAGGUGGUAAUACAGCCUCUAAUCUUUUCCCACUUUGUGUGUACAUUCAUGCCUCCUCAUAGUGCCUGAUUCAGUGAAGGAAUGACCACAAUAAAUACAAGUAUAUGGCUUCUCUGGAGACAGGUUCAAAGUCUUCAUCAAAUGUGUCAACGCGGUCAUCAUCCUCGCUAAGCGCUCCCUGAGCUUCUUCUGGGCUAUCAGAGAAAGACAGUUCUAAGUCUUCACCUUCACACUGUAAGUCAAAGUUAGUACUGGAGUUGACAGAAAUCCCUGUGGUGGCUUUGCACCAUUUCUGGUUGCAGGCUUCAUAAGUUUCCCCAUCUUCACACUGCAGUUCCACGGGGAGUUCUUGCUUAUCUGAGGGUCCUGCAGAGUUGCAGGACAAUCUAAAGGAUGGAGAAAACUUUUCUUGUUCUUUGAGCUGGAGGCUGGAUUUAUGAUUCCCCCUUUUAGAACACAGGUUUACAACUUCAGAACGUUCUUCUGCUGAGUCCUGGGUGUCACCAACUGACUGCCAGCCCACUUCUACAUCCAUUCUGUGCUACUGCUGGACUUGGUAGAUGUUUUGGGCUUUUCUUGGGAAGCCACAGUGACUUACAUCCUUACAGGAUGGAUUUGAGGCAUCCUCAUUUCAGGUACCAGUCACU